UGGGGAAUUUUGCACAAUGGGGGAAACCCUGAUGCAGCGACGCCGCGUGAUUUUGAAGGCCUUCGGGUUGUAAAAAUCUUUUUUAUGGGAUGAAAAUGACAGUACCAUAAGAAUAAGGUCCGGCUAAAUACGUGCCAGCAGCCGCGGUAAUACGUAUGGACCGAGCGUUGUCCGGAAUCAUUGGGCGUAAAGGGUACGUAGGCGGCCCAGUAAGUUAGAAGUGAAAUAAUAUAGCUCAACUAUAUAAAGCUUUUAAAACUGCUAGGCUUGAGAGAUGGAAGGGAAAGUGGAAUUCCUAGUGUAGCGGUGAAAUGCGCAGAUAUUAGGAAGAAUACCGGUGGCGAAGGCGACUUUCUGGUCAUCAUCUGACGCUGAGGUACGAAAGCGUGGGUAGCAAACAGG
rnacentral:rRNA from 1 species